ACUGGGAUGAGCGAGCGAAGGCAACGCACCUGCGGCUCGGAAUAUGAAGGGGAAGAGCCCUUAUAAACCAGGUAGUAUCAUGUUUGGUUAGGGGCCCUUUAGGCCC
rnacentral:ncRNA from 1 species